ACGCGUUAUAAAGCAAAUUCCCGAUGGGAGGGUGGUUAACACCCGCUGCCUUGUAACCGCACAUUCAGUUAUUGAAGAUAUGGGGGAAUUAUCAAAAUG
rnacentral:sRNA from 2 species